rnacentral:rRNA from 1 species
CACCAGCGCCACAAGUGGCAACCGCUUUUAUUGGGCCUAAAGCGUCCGUAGCCGGUUCAGUAAAUUUUCUGUGAAAUCGUUAGGCUUAACUUAACGUCGUGCAGGAAAGACUACUGAACUAGGGACCGGGAGGCGUCAGAGGUAUUCUUGAGGGAGCGGUAAAAUGCUAUAAUCUCAGGAGGACCCCCUGUGGCGAAGGCGUCUGACGAGAACGGAUCCGACGGUCAGGGACGAAAGCUAGGGGAGCAAACCGGAUUAGAUACCCUCGUA